UGCCCCCGUGCACAAAGCGAGGGCCAUACAGAAAUGGUUUGUCGAGAUCGGUUCCGGAAGAACUUGACUGGCCUGCACAGAGCCCUUUCCUCAACCCCAUCGAACACCUUUGGGAUGAAUUGGAACGCCGACUGCGAGCCAGGCCUAAUCGCCCAACAGUGCCUGACUUCACUAAUGCUCUUAUGGCUGAAUGGAAGCAAGUCCCCGCAGCAAUGUUCCAACAUCUAGUGGAAAGCCUCCCCAAAAGAGCGGCGUCUGUUAGAGCAGCAAAGGGGGGACCAGCUCCAUAUUAAUGCACAUGAUUUUGGAAUGAGAUGUUUGACGAGCAGGUGUCCACAUACUUUUCGUCAUGUAGUGUAGUUUGUCAUAAGAAGGUGACAGUAGUUGUAUUCCUUGACUGUCUGUGGUGUAACUCCUUCCAAACCCACCUACCAAGAGGUGCUGACUGAGGUGGAGGAGAGGAGCCACAAAAGGCAACAGGAAUACAACACGUUCUGCCAGCAGACGAAACAGGAGAUAGCUGACAUCCACAGAGAUCGACUGAUCCAUAACAUGAAACUCAACAGGAUGAAGAAAGAGAUUUUCAGUGACCGCAUGGAGGUGAAGAUCGCCAGCGAGGGAAUCAUGAAUAAAUGGAACCACCCCCCAUACCGCCAGCGUCUGCAGAAGGGAGAGGGGAAAGAGAGGAAAGAGGAGUCAGAGGAGGUGAAGAAUACAAACCAACCUUCUGUUCCAGAGAACCGAAAGACAGCUGGACAAUGACACUGCAACUUUCAGAACAGCGUCUCUCUCUCUUUCUCUUUAUGCCACUCAGAUCUACAGAACAUGAUGUCAGUGUUUUGUUCUACAUUAAUAUAUAUUUUACAUUUGUUUUCAUUGAAAUUCACCCAGAUGAUUUAAAUGCCAGUCUUCACACUUCA